rnacentral:rRNA from 1 species
AUGGAGGACGCUGUAGCCGGGCCUGAUGUCGGGGCGAUACUUAAGAAUGUCAGGGUGUGCAUCACGGCGUCGAGGAAGGCCGUGGUGGAAGGCGGGUUGUCAGACGGCCAGGUACAUGCGUUCGUGGACGGGGUCAUAUUAUAUUUCCUAUCAGUCAUACAGAGAGCCAGGCAGGCUACAUUCUCAAAUCAAGUGUGA